UAAACAUUGAUAGUACUUUAUACCCUCUAUCCGCCAGGGAACUACGAGCGUCAGCUUAAAACCCAAAGGACUUGGCGGUGCUUAAGACCCACCUAGAGGAGCCUGUUCUAGAACCGAUAAUCCCCGUUCAACCUCACCCUCCCUUGCUCAUUCCGCCUAUAUACCGCCGUCGUCAGCUUACCCUGUGAAGGAAAAAUAGUAAGCAAAAUUGGUAAAACCCAAAACGCCAGGUCGAGGUGUAGCGUACGAGAGGGGAAGAAAUGGGCUACAUUCCCUAAGUUAAGGGCACACGAAAGGCAGAUUGAAAUAUCUACCCGAAGGUGGAUUUAGAAGUAAGUAGGAAGUAGAGUAUCCCACUGAAACCGGCUCUGAAGCGCGCACACCGCCCGUCACUCUCCCCGAAUAUACGAACCCAAACUAAUUAAAACCUUAGUAACACAGAGGGGAGGCAAGUCGUAACAUGGUAAGUGUACCGGAAGGUGCACUUGGAAAAAC
rnacentral:rRNA from 1 species